rnacentral:rRNA from 1 species
UUAAGAUACUAAGAGCAUACGGUGGAUGCCUUGGCGAUAUCUGCCGACGAAGGACGUGACAAGCUGCGAAAAGCUGCGGAGAGAUGCAAAUAAUCGGCGACCCGCAGACAUCCGAAUGGAGAAAUCCGGCUGUGAUGAUGCACAGCCAUCCAUGCCCAAGAGCAUGAGAAGGGAACCGGGCGAACUGAAACAUCUAAGUAACCCGAGGAAAAGAAAUCAAACGAGAUACCCCAAGUAGCGGCGAGCGAACAGGGAAGAAGCCCAAACCGGUGAAGGAAACUUUACCGGGGUUGAGGACCAUCAGACCCGCGAAGAACUUUAGCCGAAACUGUUGGGAAACAGUGCCGAAGACAGUGAAAGCCUGGUAGGCGAAAAAGAGAAACGCGGAGAUGGCACCAGAGUACCGCGGGACACGAGAAAUCCCGUGGGAAGCAGGGGGGACCACCCUCCAAGGCAAAACACAGAUAUCGACCGAUAGCGCAUAGUACCAUGAGGGAAAGGUGAAAAGCACCCCGGGAGGGGAAUGAAAGAGAACCUGAAACCGUAUGUUUACAAGCAGUCGGAGACCGCUUAAUAAUAAGGUCGACGGCGUGCCUAUUGAAGAAUGAACCGGCGAGUUACGAAGCCUGGCAAGGUUAAGCAGGAAAUGCGGAGCCGAAGCGAAAGCGAGUCUUAAGAGGGCGCAAGUCAGGAAGCGUAGACCCGAAACCACAGUGAUCUACCCAUGUCCAGGUUGAAACACAGGUAAAAAUGUGUGGAGGACCGAACCUAUAUCCGUUGAAAAGGGUUAGGAUGAGGUGUGGGUAGGGGUGAAAUUCCAAUCGAACGUGGAGAUAGCUGGUUCUCCCCGAAAUAGCUUUAGGGCUAGCCUCAGGGAAAAGAUUGCAGGCGGUAGAGCACUGAUCAGGAGAGGGACCUACCCGGUUACCAAACCCAGUCAAACUCCGAAUGGCUGCAAUCAUACCUGGGAGUCAGACUGCGACUAAUAAGGGCCGCAGUCAAAAGGGAAACAGCCCAGACCAUCAGCUAAGGUCCCCAAUGCCGUGCUAAGUGGCAAAGGAUGUGGCAUUUCAUAAACAACCAGGAUGUUGGCUCAGAAGCAGCCACCAUUUAAAGAGUGCGUAAUAGCUCACUGGUCGAGAGACGCUGCGCCGAAAAUGUCCGGGGCUCAAGCACGGAACCGAAGCUAUGGCAUGAUAGCAAUAUCAUGGGUAGGGGAGCGUUCUUAUAAGGAAGAAGCAUGACCGGAAGGACAUGUGGACAAAUAAGAAGUGAGAAUGCCGGUAUGAGUAUCGAAAAGAAAGGUGAGAAUCCUUUCCACCGAAAGCCCGAGGGUUCCUGAGCAACGAUCGUCGACUCAGGGUAAGUCGGGACCUAAGCCGAGGCGGAAAGCGUAGGCGAUGGACAACAGGUUGAAAUUCCUGUACCGGAUCAAGUCGAUCGAGCGAAGGAGCGACGCAGGAGGGCACAUGAUCGCGCGGCUGGAAGAGCGCGUCCAAGUGCGUAUGUUGCAGCAGAGGAAAACCCCUGCAGCUAAAAGCAGAGACAUGAUGGGGAGUUAAAGGAAACUUUGACGAACUCAUGAAUCCCACACUGCCAAGAAAAACUUCUAGCGAGACAAGAUCCGCCCGUACCGUAAACCGACACAGGUAGGCGGGGAGAGAAUCCUAAGGUGCGCGGGAAAACCCUCGUUAAGGAACUCGGCAAAUUGCAUCCGUAACCUAGGGAGAAGGAUGGCCCCCGGUCAGUGAAGAGCAGAAACGCUCAGAGCUAAAAGGGGCGGCAGAAAAGAGGCCCAAGCAACUGUUUACCAAAAACACAGGUGCCUGCGAAAGCGAAAGCUGAAGUAUAGGUGCUGACGCCUGCCCGGUGCCGGAAGGUUAAGGAGAGAAGUUAGCGAAAGCGAAGCAUCGAACUGAAGCCCCGGUGAACGGCGGCCGUAACUAUAACGGUCCUAAGGUAGCGAAAUUCCUUGUCGGGUAAG